rnacentral:lncRNA from 1 species
CCAUUUCUCAUUCAAUCCUUCAUUCAAACACGUUAGGGUUUUCCGAUUUUUCAAUUUUAGGGUAGGGUUUCAGGGGAAAGCCAAUGCGGGAGAGGUGUACGGUGGAGGUUAGACAACGAAACUUCUUCUUCUGACCAAAUCUACAACAAGGAACACUGAGAGAUGGCUAAAUCUACAACAACGAACACUGAUAGAUGGCUAGACAACCAAACUUCUUCUUCUCAGUGAAUCACCGCAACAUUAAACGACUACACAUCAAACGAAGAAAGUUAUACAUUAAAGGAAUAACAUUAUGGACUCACCACAGACUCACCGAGACCGAAAGAGGGUGGCAUUGACCUCAGAGUACGAGAACAGGAGUCCUAGAGCUCCACUGUGAGAAAUCGAGGGUUCGUUGACGAAGAACACGGGUACCACACAGGGAGAGGGGGUCANGAUUGGAGGCAGGNACUCCUGNGGUUCGAGACAUGAAGAUGAUGGUUCGAGGAAUGAAGAUUAUGGUUCAGACAGGGAGAGGAAAGGUUCGAAGAAAAUGGCUCGACGAAAAGAAAGGCUUGAUGACGGGAAGGCUAGAGAAGAAAGGUUGGAGAACAAUGGCUCGACAAGAAGGAAGAACAAGGGUUCGAUGAAANGGAAGAGGAAGGGCUCUNGGAGAAAUUUACANUGAUUCUGACUCUUAGGUUUUGUUUUAAGUUUAGUUUUUUAAUUUUUUUUAAUUAUUUAUUUUAAAAUCCGUAUGUAAGGAGAAAUCUACUAUUACAUACAAAUUUUAUAUACGGAAAAUCCGUAUGUAAAUAUUUUUACCAUUAUAUACGGAAAAUCAGUAUAUAAUCUAGUUUUUAUCUACAGAUCAAAAUCCG